rnacentral:tRNA from 1 species
GCCCGAGUAGCUCAGGGGACAGAGCAACCGCCUCCUAAGCGGUUGGUCGCAGGUUCGAGUCCUGCCUCGGGCACCA